CGAAGGAUGCAAGCGUUAUCCGGAUUCAUUGGGUUUAAAGGGAGCGUAGGCGGACUUAUAAGUCAGUGGUGAAAUCUCCUUGCUUAACAAGGAAACUGCCAUUGAUACUGUAGGUCUUGAGUACAGUUGCCGUUGGCGGAAUAUGACAUGUAGUGGUGAAAUACUUAGAUAUGUCAUAGAACACCGAUUGCGAAGGCAGCUAACGAAGCUGUAACUGACGCUGAGGCUCGAAAGUGCGGGGAUCAAACAGGAUUAGAUACCCUGGUAGUCCGCACUGUAAACGAUGAUUACUCGUUGCUGGAAGGUAACUUUCAGUGACCAAGCGAAAGCGAUAAGUAAUCCACCUGGGGAGUACGCCGGCAACGGUG
rnacentral:rRNA from 1 species